UGGGAUCUUCCCAAACCAGGGAUCAAACCCGUAUCUCCUGCAUUAGCAGGCAAAAUUCUUUACCACUGAGCCACCAGGGAAGCCCCAGGUUAUGCAUUUUGACAAGAACACCACAGAAGUGAUGCUGUGCGCUUCUCAGCACAUCAUAUCAGGCAGCACACGAGGCCAAUAAGCUGUUACUUGUUGAUUCUGAUCACCCGAGUUAGGUGGGGUCUGCAGGUUUUUCCACUGUAAAGUUAUUCUUUUCCCCGUUGAGUUAAUAGGCAUCUCAUGGGGAACUACUUUGAGAUGAUGUAAACAUCCUGUUUCUCAUCUUAUUUUCACGCAAAUGUUUGUUUCCGCUGAUGAGUCUUGCUUAAAACAAUCACGACCGUGGGUGUCUGCCAAGGGGUGGUUUUCUAUUUCCUUCACGCCUUCGAAUAUUCAACAGUCAGAAUUUUUUCUGUAAGAAGGCUCUCCCUUUUCCCUUAUUUGUUUACUCAAAUAUUUACUGUAUCAUUACAGACGUAUUAUUUCCUAUUUUUCCCUCUUAUUCUGGAUUGUAUCCGGGGAGGUGGCUUGACCCUCAGAGUUAUGGAGUGACGAAACCCCUCGGCCUGGAGACCAUCUAAGCGAGACUGGCUGUCGUUUGGACUGGUUUGCUGUUGUUUUUUUCAACCCAGGGCCUCGGUAAAGUCUUGCGGGGAUGCCCAAUAGAUGACUGAUGAGGCCACAGCCUGGGUUUCCUUGUCCGUUUCCUUUGUUAUCACAGCAGGCAAAGAGAUAGAGACCAGUCUUCCAGGCCCUUCUGUGGCAGGACCUCUUGGCAGGUCAUAGGGCCUCUUUCAACUCUGCCAUUGGUGGAAAAGCAGACACAGAUGACACAGAAAUGAAUAAACGUGGCUGCGCUCCAAUGAAGCUUCAUUUAUGGACCCUGAAAUUUGAAUAUCAUGUAAUUUUCACAUAUCACAAAAUAUUCUCCAUUUUUUCCAAACAUUUAGAAAAGUGUAAACCACAUUACCUCACACGCAAUACAAAAAUGUAGUAUUUCAAUUUCAGAUAAACCGUAACAUAUUCAAGCACUAUCCUGUUGGUGGACUUCCAGCCUAGUUCCAGGCCUUUGCUAUUACAGAAAAUACUGCGGUGUAGACACCUGCCCAUACAUCAUGCCACAUACAGGUGACGUCUCUGUAGGAUACAUCUGGGGACAAGUUUGAUCAAAUCUGAACAGGCUUUCUACUCCUCCCAGGCACCUCCAUCCCUUUCCUCCUCUCUUUAAAGUCUUCAUCUUGCUCCCUGAGUACUAAUCAGUUAACAUCACAUAUACUCAGAGCUUCACAAGCUCAAACCCUGGCAUGUUUCUGCAGUGAUGCUCUAACCAGUUGGCCCUGCCCCAGGCCAGUCCCUGGCGUAGAUCUCACCUGAACUUUGGACUCCUAGUGGGAUCCUGACUUGACUCUGUCACUGCUCCAGCCCUUCCUCAGGGAGCCCCGGAGGAUGCAUCAAAGUCACCAGUCUAUUUCUGAUGACUUCUCAUUGGCUUCUCCAAGGGAAGCCAGCGUUCACUGUGCAAGAAAAGCCACAACCCUUAGAGGGGCAUUUAACACGGCCACCCCACCCAUGGUCUGACCCUUCCUGUGACAGCUUCCCUAG